UACGUAGGGUGCGAGCGUUAAUCGGAAUUACUGGGCGUAAAGGGUGCGCAGGCGGUUAUAUAAGACAGAUGUGAAAUCCCCGGGCUCAACCUGGGAACUGCAUUUGUGACUGCAUGGCUAGAGUUUGGCAGAGGGGGGUAGAAUUCCACGUGUAGCAGUGAAAUGCGUAGAGAUGUGGAGGAAUACCGAUGGCGAAGGCAGCCUCCUGGGCCAACACUGACGCUCAUGCACGAAAGCGUGGGGAGCAAACAGG
rnacentral:rRNA from 1 species